rnacentral:lncRNA from 1 species
GCGCGACCCCGCUGCGGUGGGAGCCGGACCCAGGCAGCCACGCCCACCAGUCUUAAUGGGGGACACCAGAGGGGGCUAGAAUGGGGGGCGGGAUGCUGGUGACACCAGCGGUGGCUAGGAUGUGCUGGCACGGCCCUGGAGACACUUUUAUCUCAUUUAGUGACCUCAGGAUUUUCGUUUCGCUCCCCCAGCCUGCACUUUCUCCUCUUCGAACACUCGUCCACCCUGCUCCAGCCAGAGCUGCACCUUCUCCGACCCGGUAUCUCAAAAGGAGCUCGAACUCCUUUUCCUCUGGGGAGGAGAAAGAAUGGGUGGCCUCCGCGUCACUCUGUUUCCCUUCCUCCUCCUCAGUCCUGAUAGAAUCGAAGGGCUGCCCUUUUUCCAGAAACAUAAUAACUGCAUUCCAGCUGAUUCCGAUGGGGGCAGGGGGCGGAGUAGUGGAAGCCCAUUUUUAUUUGAAACCUAUCCCUAUAUUUUCCUUCCCAGGAACCCCUGGAUAAAGACCAGCUCAACCAUCGCUGAGAAAACAGACCUAGGCUUCCCAGGGCGGUUAACCCGCCGGCCUCUGGGCAGAGACUAAAAGACAAAACAAAAUAAAACAACAACAAAAAACUCCCAGUGUGUUUCCUACUCUUCUUUUUCUUGGAGGAAAGCAAAGGGAGAGAAAUGGACUUCACCAGUGGUCUUUGGCUUCAUCAAUUCACAGGAAAUGGCAUCAAGAUGGUUCAACUAAGACAUGAUCACUAAAAACAUUAUAAUAAUACCUUUUUGAAAAACUCAGUUUCUCCUGUUUACUAAAUAUUUAUUUCAUCAACAUGGGCUGCAUUCCACUGUGUCAGGAUUCUGCAUGUGGGUGGAGCACUGUUCCGGCCUGAGAAGAUGGUUCUGAGGCCACUUAGCAAGACAUUUUCCAGCAUGAGCAGGUUUCUCUGUGGAAAUAGUGACACCUGUUCUGGUGUGUUGUCUUUCCUCAGGGAACUUAAGGGGUACUAAGCUCCUGAAAAUGUUCUUUAUGCUGGUUGAAGCUCUUAUGUCACUGUACUGAUUCCCUACGAUGCAGAUUUGAAUCACAGAGUAAUUAAAAUAUGGAUCAAAUAAGGCUGGGGUUCACCAAGGCUGAAAGCUGUAGCCAUUCAAGGCAUCAUUUCUGUCAUGAAAAUAUAGGACCUUUUCAAAACAUGCCUUCAGGAAGGUGUUCCCUUUUCAAACAAAAGUCUAAUGACUGCAUAACUCUUCUUGACCACAUCUUACACUUUCUCUAGACUUGCUUAUUUACAGCUACUGGAACAAAAAGAUGAAAUGAAUAAAGCACACUGAUUGUCCUAAGAGUCUUCUGUGACUAAAAGCACAUGAGCUUCUCCCCAGGCUGAGCUUUGACCCUCCCAAGCAUUUCCCCAAAGGCCAUGACACUGCAUCAGAUUGCUCCUGGACACUUUCCUCAGAGUUUUCAACAAAUAUAAACUGAGGAAUGGAGCACAGCACCAGAUUUGCUAAUCAAGAGGCAAUGGUCCCAGUCCAAAUGGGUGCUGUGUGUGAAUACAGAGCUCAGGAGAAGGGAAGGAGGUGUGUGAACAUCAGGAAUUGCAAAAUCUUGCUGAACCAAUAGACCAACAGCCAUUAACAUUUAUCAAUGCAAAGAUCCUAAAAUAUACAAGUGUGGAGUUGUCCUGCCCUAAGAGCUGAAGCUGUGACAAUCACGCUGCCAUGGUAGAUAUUUAAGCUCCCCUGAGGUUACUGAAUCUAACAAUGAAUAAACAAUGAAGAGUAGCUAAUUUUUGGAAAUCUCUUUCUAUGACCGGAAAAUAUUCACAAACUCAGAGUGAUUGUUUGGGGUGAAAGAUGGUCCCAUGCUUUGUGGGCCUCUCUUUGCUAUCUAUACAACGUUGGAAAUGAACCCCUCCCUUACAGGAAAGUGAAUAGCAACCAAGGUGAGCCCACCCUGGGAGGGCAGAGUGGGUGUACUUUCCUCUAAGAGCCCUGAAAACAACAGGGCACACAAACAGCCACAGCACCCUCAACAAUGCCCCACCAUCUGCCCACCAGGGCACACAGAUUCACGCAGAUUCAGUGACACAUUCCAAAAAAAGGGAAUUAGGGAGGACCCAUGGCAUGGCUAAUGGGGAGAGAGCUUUACUACUUUUAGCGCUAUUGCUAAUUAUUGGAGCAAAGAAAGGCAUACAAGGAAUGGAACCCAACCUGUUUAAAGUAAUAAAUGUCAACCCUAAAGUGCAUGGAACCAUCUCUCCUUCCCUUUUGAGGACUGUGUGCUUCACAAGCUGGGCGUUUGCUGCAUGGGGUUUUCUAAUGUAAUGUGAAUUUUCAAUGUGCUUUGUCUCUGUAGAGUGGCUUUAAAAAGCCCUUGAAGUCCUCAGCUUUAAAUCCAUGCUAAUAGGGGAAGUCUUUUUUUUUUUUUUUUGGAGGUGAGGAGCUUUGGUUGGGAGAAACAUUGACCCAGACUGCACUCUGGGUAAACUAGGGCAAAAGACCUGAUAUCGUCUGCAGGGUACUUAUUAACCACUGUUCAUUUGCAGGAUCAAUAUUUCCAGCAAAGGAGUCAACACUCAAGAUACACUGCUACGUCUCACUUUUUCCUUGACACAACAAUUUAUUUUAUAAAUGCAUCUGCUGGAGAAGAAAAGGCAGUACCAAGGAUUGUGUCUUUUAUCUCCAGGAUAUGCAAAGCGCAUUUAUUUUCAGCUUUUAUCUCUGGAAUUGUAUGUUGAUCCCAUACAUAUAGAUUGAUUUUG